CGCGUUGAACUUAAGCAUAUCAAUAAGCAGAAGAUAAGAAACUAACACGGAUUCCCCUACUAACUGCGAGUGAAGCGGCAAAAGCUCAAAUUUUAAAUCUGGCAGUGGCUCACUGCCCGUAGUUGUAAUCUAUAGAAGUGUUGCUCACACUGAUACCAUGUAUAAGUCUUCUGGAAUGAAGUGUCAUAGAGGGUGAGAAUCCCGUCUUUGACAUGGACUCCGCCAGUGUAUUUGUAGUAUGCUCUCUAAGAGUCGAGUUGUUUGGGAAUGCAGCUCUAAAUGGGUGGUAACCUCACAUCUAAAGCUAAAUACUGGCGAGAGACCCAUAGUGAACAAGUACCAUGAGGGAAAGAUGAAAAGAACUUUGGAAAGAGAGUUAAAAAGUACAUGAAAUUGUUGAAAGGGAAACACUUGAAGUCAGUCACAUUGGCCAGGGAUCAACUUGCUUAAGUGUACUUCCUGGUUGAUGGGCCAACAUCAGCUUUGACUGUCAGAGAAGGGUAGGGGGAAUGUGGCACCCUCCUGGGUGUGUUAUAGCCCUCUGUCAUAUAUGGCCGUUGGGGCUGAGGAAUGCAGCGCGCCGCAAGGCCGGGUUUCGACCACGUUCGCGCUUAGGAUGUUGGCAUAAUGGCUUUAAUCGACCCGUCUUGAAACACGG
rnacentral:rRNA from 1 species